UACGUAGGGUGCGAGCGUUGUCCGGAAUUACUGGGCGUAAAGAGCUCGUAGGUGGUUUGUCGCGUUGUUCGUGAAAACUCACAGCUUAACCCCGGGCCUGCAGUGGGUACGGGCAGACUAGAGUGCGGUAGGGGAGACUGGAAUUCCUGGUGUAGCGGUGAAAUGCGCAGAUAUCAGGAGGAACACCGGUGGCGAAGGCGGGUCUCUGGGCCGUAACUGACGCUGAGGAGCGAAAGCGUGGGGAGCGAACAGG
rnacentral:rRNA from 1 species